AGAGUUUGAUCCUGGCUCAGGACGAACGCUGGCGGCGUGCCUAAUACAUGCAAGUCGAGCGAGCUUGCCUAGAUGAUUUUAGUGCUUGCACUAAAUGAAACUAGAUACAAGCGAGCGGCGGACGGGUGAGCAACACGUGGGUAACCUGCCCAAGAGACUGGGAUAACACCUGGAAACAGAUGCUAACACCGGAUAACAACACUAGACGCAUGUCUAGAGUUUGGAAGAUGGUUCUGCUAUCACUCUUGGAUGGACCUGCGGUGCAUUAGCUAGUUGGUAAGGUUACGGCUUACCAAGGCAAUGAUGCAUAGCCGAGUUGAGAGACUGAUCGGCCACAUUGGGACUGAGACACGGCCCAAACUCCUACGGGAGGCAGCAGUAGGGAAUCUUCCACAAUGGACGAAAGUCUGAUGGAGCAACGCCGCGUGAGUGAAGAAGGGUUUCGGCUCGUAAAGCUCUGUUGGUAGUGAAGAAAGAUAGAGGUAGUAACUGGCCUUUAUUUGACGGUAAUUACUUAGAAAGUCACGGCUAACUACGUGCCAGCAGCCGCGGUAAUACGUAGGUGGCAAGCGUUGUCCGGAUUUAUUGGGCGUAAAGCGAGUGCAGGCGGUUCAAUAAGUCUGAUGUGAAAGCCUUCGGCUCAACCGGAGAAUUGCAUCAGAAACUGUUGAACUUGAGUGCAGAAGAGGAGAGUGGAACUCCAUGUGUAGCGGUGGAAUGCGUAGAUAUAUGGAAGAACACCAGUGGCGAAGGCGGCUCUCUGGUCUGCAACUGACGCUGAGGCUCGAAAGCAUGGGUAGCGAACAGGAUUAGAUACCCUGGUAGUCCAUGCCGUAAACGAUG
rnacentral:rRNA from 1 species